rnacentral:lncRNA from 1 species
UGAUCCCUGGCUGGGGACAGGGGGUUGAUGUGAUCUGUGGUUGCAGGUUGCAGAUGUGGCUCCGAUCCAGUGUUGCUGUGGUGUAGACCUGCAGCUCUGAUUCGACCCCUAGCCUGGGACCUUCCAUAGGCUGCAGGUGCGGCCCUAAAAAGACAAUACGUAAAGAGAUAUGUAGAGAAAUAUGUAGUAAAAGCAAGUGGUAAAGGGGGGGGUCCCUUAAAAGCCUCGAAUACCCGCCUCCCAAGAGCUGUGUCCAGAGCCAGUCGUGUUUCAGUGGAGACACGAAAUCCAUCCAAUGCGAACAAAAAUUCCCAGGCAGGUCGAGGAAGAGGGAGGCAGGAGAGAAACAGAAGUCAAAGCAGAGGGAGUGAGGGGAAGGCCGUCCAGGACCCACAGGUCCAGGGAAGGAAAAGAGGGAAGCGUUUUCAGAGGCAGGAGAGAAACAGAAGUCAGAGCAGAGGAAGUGAGGGGGGCGCCGUUCAGGACCCACAGGUCCAGGGAAGGAAAAGAGGGAAGCGUUUUCAGAGGCAGGUGGGAGCCAGAACCGUCGGGGGUUGGUGGCGAGAUGACACCAGAGAAGAAGUGAAAGAGGGUCGCCAGCUCCGUAAGGAGAGGGAGGUUUCAGGAUGAGUAUUUUGGUGCGUGUCCAUUUUUCUUUCCUCCUCCCCCCUCCCCCUCCACGGCUGAGCCAGAGGCCAGCAGCAUGGGUGCUGAGUAGGGAAAUGAUGGCUUGAAUCUCAGUUAUUCUCCAAAAUGCCCUGAACAAGAGGAGGGAAGGGAGGGGUCAGGGUCGGAAAGGAGCAGCCCAGGCGGUGUCCACCAAUCUUCAGCCCUUGUGCGUUCCAGGCGUGGGUCCAAGGCAGGACCUGGCUAAGGACACGGUGGGAACUGACUGCUUUCUUUGUGAGGAGGCUUGGAGGUGAAAAAAGUGAACUAAGAGGUGAAAAUGUGAGCCCAGGGUCACACAGCAGGGGGGAUCUGUACAAGCUGAGUUCAGGNGGGAAAUGAUAGGACUGCAACAUGCGGCUUUCUUGUGAUUGAAUGUGGCCCUUGUCCCUAGUUCUAGACAAUUAGUACUACUUCCAGUUGGAG